CUUGUCCUGGGGAGAGACAUCUGUCUUUAAGGGCUGGUUUCCUCCUGAGGAUGAAAUCUCUUGUGCUCUAAAAGGACACGAACAGUUUCCCUCUCCACCAGUCUGUGAGUUUACACCACAAUGUCAGGAGAAGAAAUUCCAAAGAGAAUGUUGAAUUUCAAUUUGUCAGACCACAUUCUCAUAAGUGAAAUUACCCCAAAUCUUUGCGUAAAGCACGAUCGUUUCUUCCUCAGAUGCUCCAAAGGUUCUUUCAGUGCUGAGAAACUCAUCUGGUGUGACACUGGAGAAUACCUCAGUGACGCUGACCUGCAGCUGUGACGCUAACCCGGCUGCUAACUACACCUGGU